rnacentral:tRNA from 1 species
GUUGUGGCUCAGAGGAAGAGCACUCGCCUAGCAUGUGUGAGGCACUGAGUUCGAUCCCCAGCACUACA